rnacentral:rRNA from 1 species
CUACGGGUUGCAGCAGUGAGGAAUUUUGCGCAAUGGGGGAAACCCUGACGCAGCAACGCCGCGUGAGCGAAGAAGGCCCUCGGGUCGUAAAGCUCUGUCAAGUGGGAAAAAAAUUUUUUGAUCAAUAGUCAAAAGACUUGAUGGUACCACUGGAGGAAGCACCGGCUAACUCCGCGCCAGCAGCCGCGGUAAUACGGAGGGUGCGAGCGUUGUUCGGAUUUACUGGGCGUAAAGAGCGUGUAGGCGGUUUAGCAAGUCAGAUGUGAAAGCCCUGGGCUCAACCCGGGAAGUGCAUUUGAAACUGCUUCACUAGAGUAUGGGAGAGGAGAUUGGAAUUCCUGGUGUAGAGGUGAAAUUCGUAGAUAUCAGGAGGAACACCCGUGGCGAAGGCGAUUCUCUGGACCAAUACUGACGCUGAGACGCGAAAGCGUGGGGAGCAAACAGGAUUAGAUACCCGGGUAGUC